rnacentral:lncRNA from 1 species
GUAUGGGGGACCUUUGGGAUAGCAUUGAAAAUGUAAAUGAGGAAAAUACCUAAUAAAAAAAAAGGAGUCCUUUAAUACCUGCAUCUAGGCAUCCUUGUGUAGCCUGUUUGUUCCUUGGGAACUGGGCUGCAUUUUGUACAGACUGAAAACUCUGAUGUGAGGAAGAGCCAUAUGGGUACUGCUGGGGUUCUUGCUGCAUUUUCAUGCUUAGUGUGAGCCUGCAAAGGGGGAAAAAAAGAUCAUUUAUCAGUGGUGUAGUAGCAGGCUUUGUGAUGUCUUCUUCAUCUCUGCAUCAUAAUGGCACCGAGUGGUCUGUCUCUAUUUUUUAUAGCUUUCCUCCUUUUCCUUUCAAGGUGGUUUACUGUUAAUUAAAUCCAUGCAUUACGGUUGUAGCUGCAUCCAUCCAUCAAAGGGUAAGCCAGGUCAACUCAGCCACAGUGACUACAAAUGAUGGUUGGCUUUAUCUUCUAGAAUCGAACAGGAGAAAAACACACACAGAUGGAAGUUAAAGUACCUUUCUUCAACACUGCCUCUGCCAUGCAUCUUUAUAAUAGUUUUAUCCAUUGUACUUUAAUAUUAUCUUAAUGCUAUUCAGCAGUACAAACUUCCAGAAGUGAGGCUGGACAUGUGGUUACAAAGCUGCAUUAGAUGAAUCCAUUCACAAACAUUCUUUGAUGAGCAUUGUUGGCCAGUGGAUUAUUCUAGGAACCACAUGGUCAUGGGGACAAAAUUUAUUAUCAGAGAUGAAGUACCCUUGGUUUUGUUAUCCAUUUUAACUUUUGUGAUUUUUUUCUCUCUCUAGCCACAGAAACAGAUGUUUUCUUAGUCUAAACAUCUUUCUUCAUGUAUGAAACCUCAGUUCAAACAUUCUGUCAUUCAGAUGCCACUAUUUAAAGACUUUUAAUAUUCUUUCUUGAAAUAAUAUUAAUCAAUGAUUCACCAUCCAGUCCACAUCUAAAUCAUACUACUGCACAUAUUAUUGAAUCUAAUGGAAUAUGUGUUAUUAUUUUUAUAUUUUGGACAAAACUAUCAAGGUUUAUAGAAUGUAAACAGCUCAGUAAUGUGGGGUUUAAUGCCCGUGACUUAUAAUUAAAUGGGAACAGGCAGCAGGGACCUUAAACAAGAUUUAAAUUAUUUCCCAUGCUUUGAGGGUUUGAUGAAUCCAUUUGUAUGUUAAGACAUUUUCACAGCUGACUGAGUUCUUUAUUUCACUCUCAGAUAUAAUGAGCUGAGUAGAGAAUUAAUUGUCACUCUGUGGGACUCAACUCAUGACCCAGAGAAAAGCACUCAGGAAGCCCGGUACCCUUGGCAUUGCCAGCUAGGCCACCAAGCAGGCGAUAAAACACCCUGGAAGGCAUAAAGUGGCUUCCCCAUAAUGGCUAUGUUGAAGGCUGGGAGCUGCUAACAUUGGGUAUUUCCCUGCUCCCGAUUAGACUCUGAGUGGUAUCUGGCUCUACCACAUUUAGGUAAAGCAGAAUCUCUUGAGGGACCUUUUUAAUGAGAAGAGAGGGAUCUGAGUGGCUAUUAUUGGUGUUUUAAAUUCUCUUCUAUACAGAGCACAAGCUUUUUCUCCAUCUUCACAGUGAGAACUCAGAAUGGCUUUAAUCGGUAAAACUUAAAAGUGAGCAUCUUUGGGUUUUGUAAUUUUCAAUCUUGUCCCUAUGGGCAGGUGUAAGAAAUCCAAGUCAAGAGCCUGCUUUUGGCCUGCUUGUUUUCUGAUAGUGGCCUGGGGUGGCAGUGAUGACAAACCCCAUUCCUGUUGUGUGCACAUGUUUAUCACAGCCUCAAAAUAGUGUGCAGGCUGCUCUGGGUCUGGCUUUAAGGCCCUGCUUUGAAGACUCCUGUGAAUACAAGUCAAGUCUGUGUAUGUGGUAGCCUUGGCUGGCCAGAGAGUCAGUUUGUUCAAGCUCAUGACAAUUCUUUGUAGUCAUAAAGAGUCAUAUGUUUGUCUAUUGAAAGUGACUCCAAACAUAUCUGGGACAAGUCUCACUAAGCCUGAAGCCAAAUGGCUUUUAUGGAAAUGACAAAUGGCCUAUGUCUCUGAAGAGCUGAAAGCUCUGUCUGCAUUCUUCCUCAAGGUUCAUUUCAUCAUGGACUUUGUUCUUUGGACAGUUUUCUUAGCAGUCUCAGGCUUGAGAAGCCAUCUGAGGCUCUGGACCCACACCUCACUUCUGUUCUUGCUCACUCUUCACAGAAGGUGGACAUCAUGAGAGAGAUCAGAUGUUCUGGUGAAGUAUGGGGUGAGGUUAGACAACAAGGUAGGGGCAGGAUUAAACACUUCUAGUAAGUUUUGAUUCCUGAAGGACCACUGUGUUCUCUGAAUAUUAGACAUAUUCCUAUUUAUGUCUUUUAAAUGUAUGGCAGAUAACCUCAGAGACACCAUAUUGUGCUUGUGUGGCAUUAAGAAAAAAAAAAGUUGGCAGUUCCCUUUGAAUUAAUUUGACCAAGUUUGAAUUACCCACUGCUCUUCCUGUGUCUUCUGUGUGCCUACAGUUUGUGGUUUCUGGCUUGUCUAUAGGCUCUCUGUUGUGUAUAUCUAUCUAUGUCUGACUGGUGGCUAACUGUUUGUCUUCCUGUGUGCCUAACAGAAGACUUUGCUCUAUGUGUAUUGCAUAACACAGAAAGCAUCACAAGGGUAAGGAAUGAGGGAUAUUUUACAGAAAUAACUUUAACCAUUUUACAGGGGAUUAAAUCACUGACUCCAACUGACCCCAGAGCACUCAGUACUGCAAACAUACCAUUAUCAAGCAAUAUUUAUCUAUAAAUGUUGUUUUUGACACUUAUAGUGGAUAUUUGUUGUAUAAUAUUGGUUUUACUUGCUAUCAUAACACACACAUACAAUCACACUUGCUUUCUAGGUAGGGGCAUGGAAAAGGACAUCAAUUAAAAUUAAAACUGUGCUUCAGUGUGGGUUAUCACAGCUAAUUACAAGGCAAGCAAGGUUGGUUGUUACAUUGUUCUUUUGAAGGCAGAACAAACAAAUGGGCAGAAUACACGGUGGGAUAGCAGGAUAAGUCUGAAAUGACUGUACAGUGUAUUAGUUUUGCUCGAGGUCCAGUAAAAGUUAGUCUCUUUAAAUGUAGGAGACAUUUUUAUAAAAUUCUAUCACCUACAUAUUCAUGAUUUUUCUCCUUAUUUUACAAUAUUGAAAUUUUGCCAUGUUAUAGUCCUAAGGUGUUUAACAAAGUUUUUAUAGUACUUCAAAGAACCAUAGAACAGCAGCAAUAAAAACGUAAAUACUUCUAUAUGCCAGUGCUGCUAACUAUUUUAACCACUGAGUUCUCAAGCAGCCCUGUGAAAUGGUAAUAUUCUUAUCUCAGGUCUAGAUAGGGAAACUGAGGCACAGAAAGGCUUCGGAGCCUGACCAAGGUCACUGUGGUAGCAAAUGGUAGAGCCAGAACACAAAAUGGCCAGCCUGGCUCCAGCUCAGGGAUCCAAUGAUGUUAUGAGUGGACCAUGGUGAGAAAGAGUGAAGGAGACACAGAUUCAAAGAGCAGAGAUCCAGCAAGGGAGAGGGACGCUCAGCUCUGAAAAAAAUGAGGGGAUAGAAAAAGUGAUUCUCAGGAGUUCAUAGCAGGACCGAAUCUCUGGGAUCAGCCUUGUCUUCUUUGCCCACCUGGCAUUGCCUGAAGGAAGUCUGAUGGGACUAGAAGAUUAUAGGUUUUGACUGAAUGUACCAUUGGACUUUUAAAGCCAAUCUCUUAAUUCUUCAUUUCCUUCAAUCCACUGGUUUCUUGUUAUGGCCAUCUAUAACAACGCUGUGGCCCUCUGGCCUUGUUGGUAUAGUUUCAACACUUCCUUUCCCUUCACACUGAUCUUCGGCUGAAAGGCAGUGCUAACUAGAGCUGUGGUCCUGCCGAGGAUAUGCUCGGUGGCUCACGAAAAGAUUCUCAGGGAAGCAGUAUAAAUACACCCAUUGAUAUUUCCCCAUGCCUCUCGUGCUUUGGUUGCUGCUGCCAACUUGUCCUGUCUUAGAGUGUGCAUACCUCCCUGAGAGUAUGGCAGCAGAGAAAUCUGAGCACUUCUCUACAGCUUAGCGGACUCCUCUGGGUCAGGAAGGAACUGCAAACUUAUCAUCAUGAAUAAUGAAGGAACCCUAGCCUAGAAUUCUUUACUCUCUACCCUAAAGGGAUGAAUUAUGUUCCCAUUCAACCACCUUUUUGGCAAAUCCUGUGGAAGCAGGUGCCAGUUAGUUAAUGAGAUUUUAAAACUGUGAACAAGAUCAUGAUUGCUCUCUUACUUCUAAUUUUCUCCUUUAACUGAGCUAUAGCCUUCCAUCCCAUUCUGCACACAAGCUAGUGUUACUGAAGAAAUAAAUUGAUGGGCAGUAGCUGUCUUGGGCACUGCUUACCACUGAUGAAGACUCUGGACUCAGUCCUCAGAACUACUGAGAAUCAAAAUGUUUUCUUCCAUAACUGAUCUGUGUUUUAUUCCUGAAGACAGGAGGCUUCCAUUACAGCUGCCUCACUGAGGUUCUUCAAUCUAUCUUAACCAGUUGGCUGGCUCGUCAGACAUUAGCAGACUUGAAGGUCAUUGAGGAUGGAUCUCCCCUUCCUGUGUUUCUGUUUACACAUUAUUUUAAAGAAGGGGGAAAGAUCACAAAUGCCUAUAGUCUCAGGGUUCUUAUUGUUGUGAAGAGACACUGUGACCACAGCAAAGGAAAACAUUUAAUUGGGACUGACUUACAGUUUCAUUAGUCCAUUAGUCCAUUAUCCUCAUGGCAGGAAACAUGGCAGCAUGCUUUCAUGGUGCUGAAGAAGGAGCUAAACAUUCUACAUUUUGAUAUGCAGGCAGCAGAAGGAGACUGUGUGCCACACAGGCCAUAGCUUGAGCAUAAGAGACCUCAAAGCCUGCCUCCAAAGUGACACACUUCCUCCAACAAGCCCACACCUACUCCAACAAGGCCCUACCUCCUAAUAGUGACAUAACUAUGUGCCCAACAUUUGAACACACGAGUCUAUGGGGGAUAUAUCUAUUAAAAUUCACAUCUCUUCUUAUAAUUUAAAAUACAUAGAAAAAAGAUGAUGUUAGGACUAACUGGAAUUUGCUAAGGCCAAUUAAAAGAAGGCUACUUUCUCCUGGUAAAGCAAGAUAUUUUAAUGGAUUUUCUUUUAACUUUAUUUUUCUUCUGUCAGUUCUUUUAAAUCUACUGUGUUUCUUGAUAUUUAAUUUUUUAAAAAAAAUCUGAUUUGGUUGGAGAGUGAUUUUUUUCAACUACUGGGAAGAUCUUAAUAUUACCAACUAGCUAGAGAUUUUCUGGUAAAGAAUAAGGAGAGUCAGUCCCUUCCUCUAAGAGUCAAUCCACAUGGGCCCAUCAACCUCCUGGCCAGGAAAACAGCCAGCAGGAAAGCUGCAUCUUCCUAUACAGUUAGGAACAUAGUGUAGAGCCUGCCUAAAUGUGUAUGUAGGCCAAUUGUCUCUUUGGUUAUUACUCACUUUCAACUCUCAACAGUGUGGGCACACAAAAAGAGAGAGACAUUGUGCUGGCUGGUCUUAUGUCAACUUGACACAAGCUAGUUAACUGAAAGGAGGGAACCUCAACUGAGAAAAUGCCUUCAUAAGAGCCUGCUAUAGGGCGUUUUUUUUUUUUUUUUUAGUGAUUGAUGAAAAGGAUCCAGUCACUGUGAGCAGGGCCAUUCCUGGGCUGGUGGUUUUGUGUUCUAUAAGAAAGCAGUCUGAGCAAGCUAUGACGAGCAAGCCAGUAAGCAGCACCCCUCCAUGGCCUCUGCAUCAGCUCCUGCGUCCAGGUUCCUGCCCUGCUUGAGAUUCUGCUCUCACUGCAGGAUGCUGAACUGCUAUAUGGAACUAUGAGCAAAAUAAAGUCUUUUCUCUACAAGUUACUUUGGUCAUGGUGUUUCAACACAGCAAUGGUAACACGAACUAAGACAGGCACUGUCUGCUUCAUAAGAACACAUUUGUUCUUCCUCCUGUAAAAAAGGAUUCUCUAUGUAUAGACUACUGAAUGUGUCAUUUGUUAUGAACUAACCUUUUAUCUAGAUGUCAUCAAAAAGUCUGGUCCAAGAGGAACACAAGCCUCUGUGGCCUUGGCCUUCCCUGCUACUGGAGGAGACUAAAGAGAAAAACAGCAACACCAUACAUCUUAGAGACAAGACUGACCCCCGACUAGGAGCUGUCUGCAGGGCUGUCUGCCUUUGUUGCUCCUCUCUCCACUGGCUAUGGCUGAGAGGCAGACAGAUCAUUAAGAGAAUACAUGGACUGUGGAAUCAACGGGAGACAGAGAGAAUUACUGGAGCUAACAGGAGAUAGAGGAUUGAAGGUUCCCAUCAUCACACUGUAUGGAUUAGAUUGUGAGACAAUUUGGCCAUGAAGGCCAAGCCAUUAUUGGACCCCAAAGCU